rnacentral:rRNA from 1 species
CCUACGGGAGGCAGCAGUGAGGAAUAUUGGUCAAUGGGCGGGAGCCUGAACCAGCCAAGUCGCGUGAAGGAAGAAGGUACUUAGUAUUGUAAACUUCUUUUGUCAGGGACGAAACAAAUGACGGUACCUGACGAAUAAGCCACGGCUAACUACGUGCCAGCAGCCGCGGUAAUACGUAGGUGGCAAGCGUUAUCCGGAUUUACUGGGUGUAAAGGGCGUGUAGGCGGGAGAGCAAGUCAGUUGUGAAAUUCUAGGGCUCAACCGUGGAACUGCAUUUGAAACUGUUUUUCUUGAGUGCUGGAGAGGCAGGCGGAAUUCCUUUUGUAGCGGUGAAAUGCUUAGAUAUCCCGAAGAACUCCAGUUGCGACGGCAGCCUGCUGGACAUUAACUGACGCUGAGGCGCGAAAGCGUGGGGAUCAAACAGGAUUAGCUACCCCUGUAGUC